rnacentral:rRNA from 1 species
ACGAACGCUGGCGGCGUGCUUAACACAUGCAAGUCGAACGGAAAGGCCCUGCUUUUGUGGGGUGCUCGAGUGGCGAACGGGUGAGUAACACGUGAGUAACCUGCCCUUGACUUUGGGAUAACUUCAGGAAACUGGGGCUAAUACCGGAUAGGAGCUCCUGCUGCAUGGGGGGGGGUGGAAAGUUUCGGCGGUUGGGGAUGGACUCGCGGCUUAUCAGCUUGUUGGUGGGGUAGUGGCUUACCAAGGCUUUGACGGGUAGCCGGCCUGAGAGGGUGACCGGCCACAUUGGGACUGAGAUACGGCCCAGACUCCUACGGGAGGCAGCAGUGGGGAAUAUUGCACAAUGGGCGGAAGCCUGAUGCAGCAACGCCGCGUGCGGGAUGACGGCCUUCGGGUUGUAAACCGCUUUCGCCUGUGACGAAGCGUGAGUGACGGUAAUGGGUAAAGAAGCACCGGCUAACUACGUG